rnacentral:rRNA from 1 species
AGUGAACGCUGGCGGUAGGCCUAACACAUGCCAGUCGAACGGCAGCACAGUAAGAGCUUGCUCUUACGGGUGGCGAGUGGCGGACGGGUGAGGAAUACAUCGGAAUCUACUUUUUCGUGGGGGAUAACGUAGGGAAACUUACGCUAAUACCGCAUACGACCUACGGGUGAAAGCAGGGGAUCUUCGGACCUUGCGCGAUUGAAUGAGCCGAUGUCGGAUUAGCUAGUUGGCGGGGUAAAGGCCCACCAAGGCGACGAUCCGUAGCUGGUCUGAGAGGAUGAUCAGCCACACUGGAACUGAGACACGGUCCAGACUCCUACUGGAGGCAGCAGUGGGGAAUAUUGGACAAUGGGCGCAAGCCUGAUCCAGCCAUACCGCGUGGGUGAAGAAGGCCUUCGGGUUGUAAAGCCCUUUUGUUGGGAAAGAAAAGCAGCAGGUUAAUACCCCGCUGUUCUGACGGUACCCAAAGAAUAAGCACCGGCUAACUUCGUG